rnacentral:lncRNA from 1 species
UAACAUUGUACCUUCGUUACUUUUUUAUUAUUAUUUUAUAUAUAUACGACGACACUAUAAAUAAGCAAGUUAUCAAAUAUCUGAAUUCAAAACACAAUUACACUAAACCAUUUCAGCUCAGGUUUGCACACUUUGACAAAGUAAACCUCACUGCAAUUUGAAGUCACACCUCGCUUCAUAUAGUGGAAAUUAAGUAAAUUUUUGAUGGUUUUGAUUUCAUCCUUCUUCAACUGUUUUGGUAUCUCUUCAAACUCAUCAUCUCAAGUUUCUGAUUAUGAUGAAAAACCAUCUCAAUCCAAAAGUUCAUCUUCAGAGAAACCAAAGAGAAAGGAAAAAUUAAUUAAAGGAGCUCCAAUUGUAGUUUACCAUUUCCCUGUUAACUCUUAUCUCUCACGUUUGUAAUUAUGCGGUAUUAAUCUUUAUCCACUUCUUAUCAAGACUAUAGCAAUCAAUUAUUUAUUUAUUUACCGAUUUUUAUAAUUAGUUUAAAAGUAGUAAUCUCCAUGGUGACUUGAUUCACAAUAAUCGAGGGUAUUCAAGUCAUUCCACAAAAAUCAUAAAUAGCCACAAAAUUUACAUAGAAACUUUUAACAAACGAUAGUAUAUUUAAUGACUAAAGCAGCACAAUUCAAACAUUAUGUAAGAAUUAGAAAACCAAUUAUCUAGUAUAACCUUUCUACAUGUAUAGCAGCGCGAUCCAAAAUUUCUGUCGAGUAAUAGCUGUUAAAAAAUUAAUCGUAAAUUAUAAUAUUAAAUCGAUCAAUUUCAUUGUAGUAUUUUAAACAUUUUAAAAUUGUUUUAGUGUCGAUGCACAAGAAUGUUUAGGAUAAUUUAGUCUAUUUCGAGUUUGCAUAAGAAUGAUAAAAACUCGAAUAUAGGGAUUAGAAGAUAAAAUAUAAAAUUUGUAGUGAAGAAUAUGUAUUUUUGUUAUAUUAUUUUUAGAAUCCGAAAUUAUGAAUUUAUAGGUAGUGUUGUUUCAAAA